UAGCAAGUUCAUAAGAGCAAACGGUGAAUGCCUUGGCAUCUGGAGCCGAAGAAGGACGUCGUAAUCUGCGAUAAGCCUCGGGGAGCUGAUAAACGAGCUGUGAUCCGAGGAUUUCCGAAUGGGGAAACCCCGCCAGGCCCCUUGUGGUGACCUGGUGACUCCCGCCUGAAUAUAUAGGGCGGGUAGAGGGAACGUGGGGAAGUGAAACAUCUCAGUACCCACAGGAAGAGAAAACAACAGUGAUUCCGUCAGUAGUGGCGAGCGAACGCGGAAGAGGCUAAACCGAGUCAUGUGUGAUACCCGGCAGGGGUUGCAUGGCCGGGGUUGUGGGACUUUU
rnacentral:rRNA from 1 species